rnacentral:rRNA from 1 species
UGUGUGUCGUAGUUAACGCGUUAAACAGGGCGCCUGGGAAGUACGGCCGCAAGGCUAAAACCCAAAGGAAUUGACGGGGACCCGCACAAGCAGUGGAGCGCCUGGUUUAAUUCGAUGGUCAGCGAAGAACCUCACCUAGGCUUGAACUGUAGCUGCACACUCCCAGAAACGGGAGAAUCCUUCGAGGGUGCUACAGAGGUGCUGCAUGGCUGUCGUCAGCUCGUGUCGUGAGAUGUAGGGUUAAGUCCCACAACGAGCGCAACCCCUAUUCAGUGUUAUAAUUACUCUGAAGACUGCCCUGUCCAAACGGGGAGGAAGGAGGGGACGACGUCCAGUCAUCAUGUCCCUUGUGUCUAGGGCUACACAGACGCUACAAUGGCCGGUACGAUGGGUUGCCAAACCGCGAGGUGGAGCCAAUCCCAUCAAAGCCGGUCCCAGUUCGGAUUGCAGUCUGCAACUCGACUGCAUGAAGUUGGAAUUGCUAGUAAUCGCGAAUCAGCACGUCGCGGUGAAUACGUUCUCGGGUCUUGUACACACCGCCCGUCGGGGCACGGGAGUCGCUCUUGCUCGAAGUUCCCGAAUAAUUCGGGACCGAAAGUUAAGGGUGGCAAC